rnacentral:rRNA from 1 species
UACGUAGGGACCAAGCGUUGUUCGGAAUUACUGGGCGUAAAGGGCGCGUAGGCGGCACGGCAAGUCGGGAGUGAAAGGCCUGGGCUCAACCGAGGAACUGCUUUCGAGACUGCCGAGCUAGAGUACGGUAGAGGGGGAUGGAAUUCCGCGUGUAGCAGUGAAAUGCGUAGAUAUGCGGAGGAACACCGAUGGCGAAGGCAAUCCCCUGGACCUGUACUGACGCUCAUGCACGAAAGCGUGGGGAGCAAACAGG